ACGGAUCAUGUGUGCUCGGGUAUGGUUUGUAUGUAACGCAAGUAACAUUAGCAGUCAGGGAGUAGUUGUGAAAGGGCAGGCUUUUUUCAACACCGCCGGUCUCCUCCGAUCAUCUGUACCCGCCCGC